rnacentral:rRNA from 1 species
ACCCGCACAAGCGGUGGAGCAUGUGGUUUAAUUCGAUGCAACGCGAAGAACCUUACCUGGUCUUGACAUCCUAGAAAGAAUCCAGAGAUGGAUUUGUGCCUUCGGGAAUCUAGUGACAGGUGCUGCACGGCUGUCGUCAGCUCGUGUUGUGAAAUGUUGGGUUAAGUCCCGCAACGAGCGCAACCCCUAUUGAUAGUUACCAUCAUUAAGUUGGGUACUCUAUUGAGACUGCCGCUGACAAGGCGGAGGAAGGUGGGGACGACGUCAAGUCAUCAUGGCCCUUACGACCAGGGCUACACACGUGCUACAAUGGGUAUUACAGAGGGCGGCGAAGCAGCGAUGUGGAGCGAAACUCAGAAAACUACUCUUAGUCCGGAUUGUUCUCUGCAACUCGGGAGCAUGAAGUCGGAAUCGCUAGUAAUCGCAGGUCAGAAUACUGCGGUGAAUACGUUCCCGGGUCUUGUACACACCGCCCGUCACACCAUGGGAGUGGGUUGCUCCAGAAGUAGAUAGCUUAACGAAAGGGCGUUUACCACGGAGUGAUUCAUGACUGGGGUGAAGUCGUAACAA